rnacentral:siRNA from 1 species
AUGUAUUGCCUCUGUGAUGCUGUC